GCUAUGGAAUAAUUGUCAGAUGGUUAGGGUUUCCUGUCAGAGACGUGUUUCUUCCAUUUCUUCCCUUUCAAAGUCCCACCGAUUUGGUGUGACUGUUGUGGGAAAGAUGAAGGAAGCGAUCUGGUGGAAGAAAGACGAACGAAGGCAAUCUCUCCAGCUCUGUGGCUUCUUCCUCAACUUAGUUUAUUCUCUCCCAGUAGAGAAAUUGAGAGACUGAAAGAGGAAAAAAACCAGAGAAACAACAAAUCAAGAAAGACCAGAAUCUUUCUUCAUCGCCGAUUCCGAUCAUCUUUAGCUCGAAGUGGAAUAUGGAUGUUAUUGUGUAUCAACAACGGAGAAGAACAACAGCAACAGCUAGUUGUAUGGCUGCUAUCGCUGCCAUACUUGUCAUAUUGGAUGAAUGUGACUAUGACGAGGAGGAAGAAGAAGCACCCCCUAGAAACAAAGUGUUGAUUUUGAUCAACUAGCCACCAUUACUGAAAGCAUCAAGGAUUUGGCAACUGCACUUCAAGAACCCCCCAAGCAACCCAUCCCUUAUCAGAUGGAUUUGACACCUAUCAUCCAUGCCAUACGAGAGAUCCUUGAUAUUUAUGAUGUUAUGACUAGUAGGUCUUUUGAAUACUUGAGUGCAAAUCCAGUGCAAGCUAAUAUAUUUAUGUCAUAUGAUGUCUCACACAGGGUAGACUUUCUUUGGAGGCAUUGGCAUUCACAAGACCCCAAUGGGUAGAAGGUUGUUCAGAUUAUGGAUAUCGUGUUUUGCCUGUUUGUGAGCUCUUUACGCAUAUGUUAGUUUAAAACUAUGUAGUUAGAGCUCUGACUUUAGGUUGAAGAACUUAUUUCUGUUUAAUUGUUUUAGAAUAGAAUGUUUGAGUGGGAUGUAUAUUUUUUUAAUGGUUUCCUACAGACUAAUGAUAUAAUAUUCUCAAACUUUUGGACAAAUUAUGGAUGGACUUUAUGCUCUCCAUUUUGGAAGUUCUACCUAGAGAUCUGGAUUCUUGAU